rnacentral:rRNA from 1 species
GAGUUUGAUCAUGGCUCAGAAUGAACGUUGGCGGCGUGGAUUAGGCAUGCAAGUCGGACGGGCCGCAAGGCCAGUGGCGGAAGGGUGAGUAAGGCGACGGUAACCAACCCCGCGGGUGGGCAUAGCCGGGGGAAACUCCGGGUAAUUCCCAGCGAUAUGACGACCCGGCAUCGGGAUGUCAUCAAAGAUUUAUCGCCGCGGGACGGGCCGUUGUGGUAUUAGCUCGUUGGCGGGGUGACGGCCCACCAAGGCUACGAUGCCUACCGGGCGUGCGAGCGUGGCCCGGCACACUGGGACUGAGACACUGCCCAGACUCCUACGGGAGGCUGCAGUCGAGAAUCUUCGGCAAUGGGCGCAAGCCUGACCGAGCGACGCCGCGUGGAGGAUGAAGGCCUUCGGGUUGUAAACUCCUGUCGAGGGGUAGGAAGGCGCAAGCUUGACCGAUCCCUGGAGGAAGCACGGGCUAAGUUCGUGCCAGCAGCCGCGGUAAUACG